rnacentral:rRNA from 1 species
GAUGAACGCUGGCGGCGUGCCUAAUACAUGCAAGUCGAGCGAACAGACGAGGAGCUUGCUCCUCUGACGUUAGCGGCGGACGGGUGAGUAACACGUGGAUAACCUACCUAUAAGACUGGGAUAACUUCGGGAAACCGGAGCUAAUACCGGAUAAUAUAUUGAACCGCAUGGUUCAAUAGUGAAAGACGGUUUUGCUGUCACUUAUAGAUGGAUCCGCGCCGCAUUAGCUAGUUGGUAAGGUAACGGCUUACCAAGGCAACGAUGCGUAGCCGACCUGAGAGGGUGAUCGGCCACACUGGAACUGAGACACGGUCCAGACUCCUACGGGAGGCAGCAGUAGGGAAUCUUCCGCAAUGGGCGAAAGCUUGACGGAGCAACGCCGCGUGAGUGAUGAAGGUCUUCGGGUCGUAAAACUCUGUUAUUAGGGAAGAACAAAUGUGUAAGUAACUAUGCACGUCUUGACGGUACCUAAUCAGAAAGCCACGGCUAACUCCGUG